rnacentral:rRNA from 1 species
UACGGAAGGGGCGAGCGUUGUUCGGAAUCAUUGGGCGUAAAGGGCGUGUAGGUGGUUCUGUAUGUCUACCGUGAAAGCGUACGGCUCAACCGUAUUUAGUCGGUAGAAACUGCAGGACUUGAGGCUGGGAGGGGCUGGUGGAAUUCCCCGUGUAGCGGUGAAAUGCGUAGAGAUGGGGGAGAACACGCGUGGCGAAGGCGGCCAGCUAGACCAGUUCUGACACUGAGGCGCGACAGCGUGGGGAGCAAACAGG